GGGAAAACAGAAAGGGACACAGCGAUGAGGAAAGCCAGGAGUCAGAUUACCAGAAUAUAGAGAAGUCAAUAAACAAAGCCAAAGUCAAAAACCAGGUAGAAAACUAUAAACAGGAACGUGCUCUCAGACAACCACAAGGGAAACCACGACAGGGCACUGAGCAGGCUGAGAACUGGGCCUAAAUACCCCUCCUUUAGUUCUGAUAGGCUG